UAUGAACAAUAUUUUAAUGUAAUACAACAUAAACCUUAUCCUUACAGAAUUAUUUUAUGGUUUUUUUAUUGCAUAAGCCACCUUUUUUCUAACUGAAUAAAGUCAUUAAAAUUCCUUUCAAAAUAAUUUACAAUUUCAAACUAGAAUAUUAAACAAAAAUCUAACUUUAGACGGCAUCUUUUCAAGCCAAAUUUUGCAAUCUAUGAGCUUUAGAAUAUUGAACAUAACGUGUCUUUUUUUGUUUUUUCUGCUUACUUUCAUAAAUCUCCAAGACGGAGCAUUACAUUUCCUUAUCCUCCACUGAAUGUGUACAUCAUUUUUUAUCAGAUUCAAAGAUAGGGAUCAGAACAGCCUUUUGACAACAAAAUUCUAAAUUUGCAAAAGGAAAAUUAUUUCUUGCCUUCCAUGACUACAUCUAUUAUUCUUCUUGUUUAACCAAAGAAAUUACAAUUCAAACAAAACAACAAACAGUAUACGUUUUGUAAUAUAUUAAAAUAAUAAAUUGCCGCACAUUCUAAGAUAUGUGAUUCAAUACAUAUUUUUCAUAAGCCUUUUACAAAACAAGUAAAAGAGCCAAAAAAGAAAGUACUAUUUCAAUUAACAGUUCAUAAGGUACUAUCUUCAUUCAGUAAAAAGAACAAACAAUGAGAAGACUAUUUACAAUUACGUCUCUAACCAAUUCAUCCAACAUAAAACAAAAAUUAACAUAGUAAUUAAGCUAAAUGAACUCACCCAUUAAGAAACUUAGCCAUGGUUAACUAGGUUCUAACAAACCAUCACAUAUGUUCUUUGUUGAGGAACAUCAAUCUCUACCGUGAAUUUCAUACUUUCAACAAUUUUUUAUUUAAUGACUAAUUUUAUGUUCGUAUGGGUGAUACUUAAUUAUGGGGACGUAAUGAAAUUGGUGGAUUAGAUCACGCUUUCUAAAACAAUUGUCCAUACACAAAAUCAUAAUUUAUGAUUUUUAUUUGUGAAUCCCAACGGUAUGAGAGAACUUUACUAACGGGGGGUAAUGAAACUUUUACCCAUCGAUAAAACAUCGAGCUAUAAGAUAAAUCAAAAUGGAAUGCGUGCAUAUUACAAGUCAAACAACAAAUUGAAACUCCAACGGCCGCCGAGCAGCCAAAGAAGAAAAUUCAUGCUAACCUGCUCACAAUUUCUGUUCUUAAUUUAACAAAUUUGAGGGAAAAACCAACUACUCAAGAAGCAACUCGUAUCCAAGUUUUGUGCUUUUACG
rnacentral:lncRNA from 1 species